rnacentral:rRNA from 1 species
AUGGCGGGUGGCGAAGGAGACGUGAAGCUGCUGGGCCUGCGGCUGAGCCCGUUCGUGGCGCGCGUGCGCAUCGCGCUGGACACCAAGGGCGUGCGCUACGAGUACGUCGAGGAGGACCUCGCCGCCAAGAGCAGCCUCCUCCUCGCGUCCAACCCGGUGCACCGGAAGGUCCCCGUGCUCAUCCACGCCGGCAGGCCCGUCUGCGAGUCGCUCGUCAUCCUGCACUACGUCGACGAGGCCUGGCCCGGCGCCCGCGAGCGCGCCGCCGCGCGGUUCUGGGCCGCCUACGUCGACGGCGAGCUGUUCCCGGCCUGGGGCCGCGUCAUGAUGGCGGCGACGGAGGAGGAGCGCGCGGAGCGGGCCGGCGAGGCGGCCGGCAUGGUGGCGCGCCUGGAGGAGGCCUUCGCCGGGUGCUCGGACGGCGGCGACGCCGUGGGGUACCUCGACCUCGUGCUCGGGAGCAACCUGUUCUGGUUCGAGGCGCCGCGGAGGUUGCUCGGCGUGAGGCUGAUCGACAAGGGGAGGACUCCGCUGCUGGCCGCGUGGGCGGUGCGGUUCGGUGAAGCCGCGGCGGCGAACGGGAUGGUGACGGACGCGCUCGUUGACAUGGCGGUGGAGCACGCCAAGAAGCUCCGGGCUGCUGCCAUGGCUGCCGGCAAGUGA